AGGUCCCAGCAAGAAGUCGCACUGUGUUUUUCUCCAUUGCUCCCUGUAGAGUUCAUGUGUUCAGCCUUCUUUCUAAUGAUGGCAAUAAGCAGCUGUCAGCUAUUAUCUGAUGAUGUGAGGUGCUGAUAGGAGAAAUAAACUCAUCGCUCUUACUGGUGCCAAAUUUUCUAAAGCAGAACAUCCUCCACUGUGGUUUGAGUGCAGUCUGUUGCAACGAUUCUUCUGGAGCUACGUGCAAGAUUGUGGUGUAUCAGAAGUUAUCAACUGAUGAGCAACAUGACUUAUCAACACUAUAGUGGUUGUGCUUUGACAGUGCUUCUUCACAGAUCUGCCUGUUUGUGUUAUGGAAGUUUCGGUCUUCCAGUUGGAGAGGAGUGACACAGAUAUUUAAGACACAUGCAGCUUAGAUGUAGCACAUUGUGAGUACAAAUGAUUACUUUAAAAAUGUCUAAAACUCUGUGAAAAAUUGUAGCCAGCCAAAAAGCGUGCGUGGAAUUGGACUUGCAUGUUUACUCUGAUUUUCAAUGGUCAAUGAGAGAAAGGAGGAAAAAUUCUAGUGAAUGUUGUUUGCCAUAAAUCAUUCAAAAUGAGCUUCUACGUAUCUACUGGUGUUUGUUCCAGCAGCCCCUGAAAACCGCAAACUUGAGCUGGUUUCUGUAUGCAGUGUUUUAUACAUGUAAGGUUCCUGUAUAUACAUUUUCCUUUCUGACCCAUGAUUUUUGAAAGCUCUGAAGACAAGGAAAAUAAUAGAGCUUGCAAGUCCUGAAGUGUGAUCAGUUAGUUGGACUUGAUGAUCUCUGUAGAUCCCUUCAAGCUGAAUUUUUGUAUUCUGUUUUGACAUGUUAGAGCAUUUUCCAUUUGUUUGCUUGUAAACUGAUGUUGUGGUGAGUGGAAAAGAGAAGCAACCCUCUGUGGAUUGCUUUGUUGGCAGUGGCUAUCUUGUGUGCAUCCCUCAUGGUCUGGCAUAACCCUUUGUAUUCUUUUUGCUUACUGGGAUGGGGUUUGUACUCAUCUCUUACUUCCAGCAUCUACAGAUGGCAAACUUCUUCAGUUAUUUAUAAAACCUGCUUCUUUUUUGGCAUUAUCUGGCUGGCUGAUCCAGGUGUGUGUAAAGUUUUCUGUAAAAUGAAGGGUGUCUUCCUUUAGGAAACACAAUGGAUAAAUUCUCCUUUUUGUAGAGAUACAGAUAGCUAACCUGCUUUCAUGGCAACCUCAUGCAAAUCCUAUCCUACUAGUGGAGGGAAGGAUUUCCCUGCUGUUAGUCAUCUUUGGUGUGGGGGAUUUUUGCAAAAAAACUGAAACAUAAUAAUCUGUUUUUAUCCCUCUUAUUUAAUUCAUCCUCCCAGUCCGUUGUAUUUCUCUUGUAACAAAAGGAAGAAAAUUUAAUGUUAUUGAAUGGCCUUUGCUAAAUUUAGUAUAGGCACUAAAUAGAGUGGUGCUUUCCAGUGAAAGUAUUUUGAUGGGAGCAGACAUUUCCUGAUUCUAGCCAUAAUAAAGCAUCUGAUUCAUGUAGCACUGCGGUUCUUCAUUCCCUCAAAUCAAUUCAAAAUAGAUUAUGCAAAUCUAGGGGAAAUCUGACGUAAUAGGCAAACUGCAGAUAAAUGUUAAAUGAGUGUGCAAGAUUGCCAACUGUGGCGCUUAAAUUUAUCACAAAUACGUCUACCUCUCUACCUUUCCUUCUCCAAAAGGAAAUGGCUGGAAUACUUUAUGAAUAACCGCAUCUACAGACCAAACUAUUUCGUUUUUUUCUUCUCAUUGACCUACAGUUUGAAAUAAGCUAAAACUAUG